UACGCAGGGAGCUAGCGUUGUUCGGAAUCACUGGGCGUAAAGCGCACGUAGGCGGAUUUGUCAGUCAGGGGUGAAAUCCCGGGGCUCAACCUCGGAACUGCCUUUGAUACAGCAAGUCUUGAGUUCGAGAGAGGUGGGUGGAAUUCCUAGUGUAGAGGUGAAAUUCGUAGAUAUUAGGAAGAACACCGGUGGCGAAGGCGGCCCACUGGCUCGAUACUGACGCUGAGGUGCGAAAGCUAGGGGAGCAAACGGG
rnacentral:rRNA from 1 species